rnacentral:rRNA from 1 species
UACGUAGGGUGCAAGCGUUGUCCGGAAUUAUUGGGCGUAAAGAGCUCGUAGGCGGCCUGUCGCGUCGGCUGUGAAAACCCGGGGCUCAACCCCGAACUUGCAGUGGGUACGGGCAGACUAGAGUGUGGUAGGGGAGACUGGAAUUCCUGGUGUAGCGGUGAAAUGCGCAGAUAUCAGGAAGGAACACCAAGCGGCGAAGGCAG